rnacentral:lncRNA from 1 species
ACCCAGUUUGGUUGCUUAGCUCAUCAAAAUGCAUUCACUUUUAUCCCAAAUAAGAACAAGGCUGUGUCUAGGGCUCUGCGUGGGGCCUGACUCUGCAACCAUUACUUGGUCCCACUGUUGUCAGCCCGUCGUGGUAUGGGUUUGUGUGUGCGCUUGUGGUCAGAGAAGAAAGGAGCGUAAACUCAAAUGUCUUCUAAAUGUGCUUAGUCGCACCACUGACUAAGGGAAAGCUUAGAAAGACUUCCUGACUUAGAAUUUGAAUAUGUUUUGGUCAGUAAUUCGUAGGAAAAUGCUGGUUCAUCAGAAAUUAAAAGUGUAAAAUUGUAAUAAUUCAUGUUACCUGAAGAUCUGUUUUGCAGUUGUUUUGGCCAUGGGUGUUACAGUUAUCACCUUCUUUCCAUGUCAAUAAGGUCACUCAUUCAUUUAAUAGCUUGGCUUAAUUUUGUUUGGUUAUUACUACAGGCCUCUUGUCUUCCCUGAGUGAGAAGAUGCAGGGACAACAACUGAGGAGCUGCGUGGACAUGAAGGUGACCACAGAGAUGGUCCUACUGACCCCUGGGUGCUCUUCAGAGAGGCAAAACAGAAGGGAUAUGCUGAGUGGGAGCCACCCCGAAACCCCGGUCCCUCCAGCCUGGCUUCCAGGCUUUGGCGCUUCCUCUGCACCCACCUCUGGAGGUCCGCGAUUUGUUUAAUGACCGGCUUGAACUCCAGUGCUGGAAAGAUGAGCAUCACACCACUUUCACCUGAAUCCCACCCACUGCUGUAGCAGCGAUUUCAGACACUAAUUUGGAUGAAACCUUUUCCCGCAAUUUUCAAAUUUAAUUCUCAACAGUGAAAGGGUGGGAAGUUCAGAAAUGACAGAGGAACAAGUGACCACUAAGAAGUGAAUAAAAUAGAGCAAAAUUUUGGUCUUUAUUGCCUU